UACGUAGGUGGCAAGCGUUGUCCGGAUUUACUGGGCGUAAAGAGCGCGCAGGCGGUCAGAUAAGUCGAAUGUGAAAGCCCCCGGCUCAACUGGGGAGGGUCAUUCGAUACUGUUCGACUCGAAGGCAGGAGAGGGAAGUGGAAUUCCCGGUGUAGUGGUGAAAUGCGCAGAUAUCAGGAGGAACACCGGUGGCGAAGGCGGGUCUCUGGGCCGAUACUGACGCUGAGGAGCGAAAGCGUGGGGAGCGAACAGG
rnacentral:rRNA from 1 species